rnacentral:rRNA from 1 species
GACGAACGCUGGCGGCGUGCUUAACACAUGCAAGUCGAACGAGCGGCGGACGGGUGAGUAAUGUAUGGGGACUGCCCGCUAGAGGGGGAGAACUACUGGAAACGGUAGCUAAUACCGCAUACGAUCGGAUAACCGAUAUGUGAUGAGCUAGUAGGUGAGGUAAUGGAUCACCUAGGCGACGAUGCCUAGCUGGUCGGAGAGGAUGAUCAGCCACACGGGGACUGGGCCACGGCCAAGACGCCUACGGAGGCAGCAGUGUGGAAUAUUGCACAAUGGGCGCAAGCCUGAUGCAGCCAUGCCGCGUGUAUGAAGAAAGCCCUAGGGUUGUAAAGUACUUUCAGUCGGGAGGCGGUACCGACAGAAGAAGCACCGGCUAACUCCGUGCCAGCAGCCGCGGUAAUUC